rnacentral:lncRNA from 1 species
GGCUCCCGGGGGGCCAGCGAGGCUGCACCGAGUGCUCGUCCGGAGGCCAGCGCACGCCGGGUGUGCGUGCACGCGCGGCUGUGAGCGCCCCUGGGACCUGUGCUGCGUGUGUGUGUGUGUGUGUGUGUGUGUGUGUGUGUGUGUGUGUGUACCCGCACAGCCUCCACCCGCCUGCGUCGAGGGUGCAUGCUGGAUGAGGCCCCUUGGGGCGCGGGGAGAUGCGCGGUCCCUGGCAGGAUGUAGCUGGCACAGGGCACAGCGGAGUGGAACAUCCUUGCCAUCUGCCAGCAUGGAGGGAAAGGGACGGAGCCUGCCCCACGAUGCGAUGCUGCUGCUGCUGCUGGGGCUGGUGCUGAGCGUGGAGCCCGGCCAGGCGGCCGUGCACGUUAACCUCACCGAAGGUAGGUGGGACCCGCCGCCCUGCCCAUGCCCGGGGGGCCGCACGUACAAACUCUGCACACCUGCAUGAGCAAGCGUGGAAAGACACCUUGCACGUGUGCCCUGAUGCACACACCCAUGUACACGUGUCCAUGCACACGCGCGCUUGCACCCCUCUCCACCUGCCUUGCUCGAACCCCGAAGCCUCCCA